rnacentral:misc_RNA from 1 species
AACGAGGCCGACCUGCGGCUGAGUUACCUGCGGAAGGAUCAUUACCGAGUGUGGCCCCCCUAAAAAAAGGGGGGUACCUCCCGUCCUUUGCAGGGCCCUUUGGGGCUUUUUGAACUUUGCUUCGGUGGGGUCAUCCCGCCGGAACACCCUUAAGAAAAUCUUUUUAAAAAACUGUUGUCUGAGUACUUUACGAAUAAAACAAAACUUUCAACAAUGGAUCU